GUACAUUAACUGAACCAUAUUUCAAUAGAAAUAAAAUUACACAAACAGCGUUUUUCAUUCCAAUACCAUAGAUGUAUUUAUUUAUUCAUUCAUUUUCCCAUCCGCUUUAUCCUCACAACGGUCGCGGGGGGUGCUGGAGCCUAUCCCAGCUUUCUUCGGGCAGCAGGUGGGAGACACCCAGCCAAUCACAGGGCACACAGAAAUGAACACCCUUCCACACUCACAUUCACACCUAGAGACAAUUUGAAGUGUCCCAUUAGCCUGCAAUGCAAAUUUUAGAAAUGACGGAGGAAUCCGGAGUACCCGUAGAAAACCCACGCAGGCCCGCGGAGAACAUGCAAACUCCACGUAGGGAGGCCGCAGCUGGAAUUUAACCCGGUACCUCUGCACUAGGAGGUUGACGCGCUAACCACUGGACCCCCAGGCCACUUGAUUUAUUUAUUAUCUUUUUUUGCCCCCUCUUUUCAUGCCUUGAACACAUCAUUGUUUUACUCUCAAAUACGUUCAAACCUUUAAAUAUACAAACAACAGUUAAUAUAAGGUUCCAUUUCUAACAUCUGAAACGGCCAAGCAACAUAAAUAGAAACAGUCCCUUGACUGACUUCAAUCCCUUUAUUCUGCCAGAACUCAGCACAAUUAUUGCUGUUGCAAAGUAGGCCAUAAAAGUUUGAUGAACAUCUUCGUGUGUUUUAAUAACAACAAACCCAUUGGUUUCACAAGAUCUCAGUUUAUUUCUUCUCCUCUUUCUGACAGUUACUGAGACAAUGUAGCGAUAAUUGCACUUAGAGGUGCUGAUGUUUAGUGUCCGGGUACACAUUGACAUGCUUACAAAGUGUAAUUACGCUUUCAGUUGACGAAAUGUGCCAAGUGUUUGUUUGCGUCAUAUGUAUAUCAACAUGCUCUGCUCAUAUUAAUAAUUUUUAUAUUCUCCUUUCACACAAUCAUCAAGGUCAAUUAAGUGUAGUGAAAUACAUGGCAGAAGGUGUUUGUGUCUUUGUUACGGAUCCCGACCAGCUCUUAUACAAGACCCGGUUGAAGAUUUUAGGAAGGUAUUCUUGUGCCUGUUUCUUCUCCCUGCCGCUACCCUGAGCUAGUCUGUCUCCCCAAGUGAUUCAAGUGAUAAAAGUGCUUUACUUCAGUGAGUUCUGAGCCCAUUAUUUCCUGUCCUUAUUCCACAACAAAUGAACGACAUGGUUGUCUGGAUAAUGUUUUUACCCACCGCGGCCAUCGGGUGGCAACACACAUCCAGACAUGAAGCCACAAUGUCUCCACCACUCCCACCCCCAACCUCCCACAACCC